rnacentral:rRNA from 1 species
AACGAACGCUGGCGGCAGGCUUAACACAUGCAAGUCGAACGCCCCGCAAGGGGAGUGGCAGACGGGUGAGUAACGCGUGGGAAUCUACCCAGUUCUACGGAACAACUGAGGGAAACUUCAGCUAAUACAGUAUACGCCCUACGGGGGAAAGAUUUAUCGGAAUUGGAUGAGCCCGCGUUGGAUUAGCUAGUUGGUGAGGUAACGGCUCACCAAGGCGACGAUCCAUAGCUGGUCUGAGAGGAUGAUCAGCCACACUGGGACUGAGACACGGCCCAGACUCCUACGGGAGGCAGCAGUGGGGGAAUAUUGGACAAUGGGCGCAAGCCUGAUCCAGCCAUGCCGCGUGAGUGAUGAAGGCCUUAGGGUUGUAAAGCUCUUUCAGUGGGGACGAUAAUGACGGUACCCACAGAAGAAGCCCCGGCUAACUUCGUGCCAGCAGCCGCCGUAAAAC